rnacentral:sRNA from 1 species
AAAGUGCUUUGUAUCGCUCUUUCACCUGUAGCGCACGGCUCUUUAACGAGCCAUUCCCCUAGGCCCAAACAGCUAUAAUCGUUUUGGGCCUUUUUUU